ensembl:lncRNA
CGGAGGGUAAAUUUUGAAGAAUUCACUGUGUCAAGUGUUAUGCAUUUCUGCAGAGCGCAGCUUAAAAGAGACAACUCCAUACUGUUUCCCUCAGGAAAUCAGCUUCCGACUUUCUCAGAAGGUCAUCUCUUUUGCGUAUUGCCUGUGAAGACAAAAAGCAUUCCAAUAGUGCUUUUUAUGAUGUACUUUUUAUACUGCAUCCUGCUAUUUUGAGCUAUGGGGUACAUGAGAUUAUACAGCACCUCAUUAGUAACUAGGUCAAGUAUCCACAAUCUCCUCCAGGAUCAAAAAGUUACAAGGACUUUAAUUUAGAAUAGCCUGUUGAAAAAAAGAUUCAGUAUUACAAUAAAUGCAUCAUUAAUCAAUACUUACAAGUUCAAAGGCAAAAAUAUAUAUACAUAUUCCAUGUAAUUGUGAGAGAAAUGCAGUUUGAUCUAAAUGAAUGAUUUAAAAAAAAAAAAAGGAAGAAUGUCUGAUGAAUUAAAAAAUAAAGUAAAAUCAAAUAAGAAAGGGGGAUUGUUAACCUCUUGGUGACAACUGCCACAGAGCUCUUUCAUUGGGUACUCAGGCAAAUGCCAUAGGUUAAUAUGGCCAUAGGGGUAUCCCAAAGCAAUCAGAAAAAAAAGAUAUCAUGCUACUUUCUCUCUUCUUUUCUUUUUUUUCUCUCACAGUUUAAAGUUCUUAUCUGUGUAAAACAACGACUCAACUGUAUUUUAUUGUUGCUUGAAUUGUCAAGUAAAACUUGGAGUCUGGAUUUAGAAGAGCCCAUUCUGUUGAGACAUGGAGCAAUAGUUUUAAUUUCUACACGCACAUAUUUUAAGCAUGUGUUGCAAGUUUAUAGACAUAAGUUUAGAGAUAAAAGUAUCAAUCACUAUUGAGUAUUCAUGACUGACUGUGUGUUAUUGGCUUGAUGCCACACCUUGAUUUUCUAUCAUGCUCCAUCAUGCUUCUUUUAAUCUGAAUAUUUAGUACUCUUUCAUGUCUUAAUUACAGCAAAUUGCACACAGUUGGCACCAUUUCUUGAAAUUAAUCCCAGAGUACUUUGUUUCUGUCAAGCACAGUCAAAGCCUUAGAGAAUAAUAGUAAAUGUUAUUGCAGAUCUAAAUUUAAAUGACUGUCUAUGUAUUUAACUUAAGCCUUUAAUUAUUCGUGCAGCACUGUUUUUGGUUCAAAUGUUAAACAUUCAUUUUCGAGAAUUUAAAAUUGUUUCAGACAGCUUGAAACCUGUGAUGUUAACAUGACAACAAUUAUUUGUAUUAACACGUCUUUUCAGGUGUGUAAAACUUAAUAGACAUCAUAUAAUACCCUGCCACAGUAAUAUGUCUCCAUUUCUUUCUGUUUAUUCAGUAAAUAAUAAAAAGGUUCUAAUUACAAGAAAGAGUUUUGCUGGGGGUUAAUUCCUUCUGUUGUCCUUUUUUGGCUAUGCAAAAAAAAAAAAAAUCUAGAAUAUAAACAAUUUUUUUUCCUCAUUAGCUGAUUCUUAAAAUGUUUGUAAUUGUAUGUAUCUUGUAUGUCUCUUUCUAAAACUCAUUGAAAAUGAGGAGGGGUUGUAUUUUUCUACUUUCAGUAUAUCAUUAAACAAAAAGAUUU